AUGAACGCUAGCGACAGACUUAACACAUGCAAGUCGAGGGGCAGCACAGGUAGCAAUACCGGGUGGCGACCGGCGCACGGGUGAGUAACGCGUAUGCAACUUGCCUAUCAGAGGGGGAUAACCCGGCGAAAGUCGGACUAAUACCGCAUGAAGCAGGGGCCCCGCAUGGGGAUAUUUGCUAAAGAUUCAUCGCUGAUAGAUAGGCAUGCGUUCCAUUAGGCAGUUGGCGGGGUAACGGCCCACCAAACCGACGAUGGAUAGGGGUUCUGAGAGGAAGGUCCCCCACAUUGGUACUGAGACACGGACCAAACUCCUACGGGAGGCAGCAGUGAGGAAUAUUGGUCAAUGGCCGAGAGGCUGAACCAGCCAAGUCGCGUGAGGGAUGAAGGUUCUAUGGAUCGUAAACCUCUUUUAUAAGGGAAUAAAGUGCGGGACGUGUCCCGUUUUGUAUGUACCUUAUGAAUAAGGAUCGGCUAACUCCGUGCCAGCAGCCGCGGUAAUACGGAGGAUCCGAGCGUUAUCCGGAUUUAUUGGGUUUAAAGGGUGCGUAGGCGGCCUUUUAAGUCAGCGGUGAAAGUCUGUGGCUCAACCAUAGAAUUGCCGUUGAAACUGGGGGGCUUGAGUAUGUUUGAGGCAGGCGGAAUGCGUGGUGUAGCGGUGAAAUGCAUAGAUAUCACGCAGAACCCCGAUUGCGAAGGCAGCCUGCCAAGCCAUUACUGACGCUGAUGCACGAAAGCGUGGGGAUCAAACAGGAUUAGAUACCCUGGUAGUCCACGCAGUAAACGAUGAUCACUAGCUGUUUGCGAUACACUGUAAGCGGCACAGCGAAAGCGUUAAGUGAUCCACCUGGGGAGUACGCCGGCAACGGUGAAACUCAAAGGAAUUGACGGGGGCCCGCACAAGCGGAGGAACAUGUGGUUUAAUUCGAUGAUACGCGAGGAACCUUACCCGGGUUUGAACGCAUUCGGACCGAGGUGGAAACACCUUUUCUAGCAAUAGCCGUUUGCGAGGUGCUGCAUGGUUGUCGUCAGCUCGUGCCGUGAGGUGUCGGCUUAAGUGCCAUAACGAGCGCAACCCUUGCCACUAGUUACUAACAGGUAAAGCUGAGGACUCUGGUGGGACUGCCAGCGUAAGCUGCGAGGAAGGCGGGGAUGACGUCAAAUCAGCACGGCCCUUACAUCCGGGGCGACACACGUGUUACAAUGGCGUGGACAAAGGGAAGCCACCUGGCGACAGGGAGCGAAUCCCCAAACCACGUCUCAGUUCGGAUCGGAGUCUGCAACCCGACUCCGUGAAGCUGGAUUCGCUAGUAAUCGCGCAUCAGCCAUGGCGCGGUGAAUACGUUCCCGGGCCUUGUACACACCGCCCGUCAAGCCAUGGGAGCCGGGGGUACCUGAAGUCCGUAACCGCGAGGAUCGGCCUAGGGUAAAACUGGUGACUGGGGCU
rnacentral:rRNA from 1 species